GUUUGAUCCUGGCUCAGAUUGAACGCUGGCGGUAGGCUUAACACAUGCAAGUCGAGCGGUAACAGACAUUUUGAUUUUGCUUGCAAAAUCUCGUGCUGACGAGCGGCGAACGGGUGAGUAACGCGUAGGAAUCUACUUAGUAGAAGGGGAUAGCCCGAGGAAACUCGGAUUAAUACCGUAUACGUCCUUAGGGAGAAAGAGGGCUUAGCUUUGAUGCUCUCGCUAUUAGAUGAGCCUGCGUAAGAUUAGCUUGUUGGUGAGGUAAAGGCUCACCAAGGCGACGAUCUUUAGCUGGUCUGAGAGGACGAUCAGCCACGUUGGGACUGAGACACGGCCCAGACUCCUACGGGAGGCAGCAGUGGGGAAUAUUGGACAAUGGGCGCAAGCCUGAUCCAGCCAUACCGCGUGUGUGAAGAAGGCCUUCGGGUUGUAAAGCACUUUAAGUAAGGAAGAAAAGAAUAUUGUUAAUACCAAUACUCCGUGACAUUACUUACAGAAUAAGGACCGGCUAAUUCCGUGCCAGCAGCCGCGGUAAUACGGAAGGUCCAAGCGUUAAUCGGAAUUACUGGGCGUAAAGCGCGCGUAGGUGGUUUAUUAAGUUGGGUGUGAAAGCCCCGGGCUCAACCUGGGAACUGCAUCCAAAACUGAUUCACUAGAGUACGAAAGAGGAAAGUAGAAUUCACAGUGUAGCGGUGGAAUGCGUAGAUAUUGUGAAGAAUACCGAUGGCGAAGGCAGCUUUCUGGUUCUGUACUGACACUGAGGUGCGAAAGCGUGGGUAGCGAACAGGAUUAGAUACCCUGGUAGU
rnacentral:rRNA from 1 species